rnacentral:lncRNA from 1 species
AUAGAGGGACGGAAGAGCUCAAGGGGUAUAACUGUAGUCCCCACAAGGGCCACGGGGGCGGGGGUGGGGUGGGGUGGGGAGACGCAGUGCAGCAGGCCCCCCUGAGUCACAGUGCAGACUUGUUCAAGGUUGUGGCCACCAAGCAACUGGCUGUCUCGAAGUGUGGAUGGAUGAAAAGUAUUCGGGUGUGUCUGGUAGGGAACAUAUCUUCUGGCACCUGAGGAUACCGACGUUCCUUCGGGCACUUGUUUCAGUGUCUCAAUGGCACUGGGCUUCACCUUAAUACCACUCUACCACGCACACGGUCAUCUGGUGUUCUCUCGGUGUUCUAACUCACAAGGAAAGCAUUUUAGAGUUAAGGAUUACUUCUGGAAAAGAAUCCAAGAACUUCCUAAUAAGUGCUGAACACAGAGUCCAGUGUGUCCUCAAUCACAUGGGAAAUUUGGUGCCACCGGCUGAAGCCUCAGUCUACAGAAGCUCACUUACAGGCCCUCCAAGCAGUACAACGAGAGGUCUGGAAGCCACUGGCCGCUGCCUAUCAGGACCAGCUGGACCAGCCAGUGAUACCACACCCCUUCCGUGUCGGCGACACCGUGUGGGUACGCCGGCACCAGACUAAGAACUUGGAACCUCGCUGGAAAGGACCCUACACCGUCCUGCUGACCACCCCCACCGCUCUCAAAGUAGACGGCAUCGCUGCGUGGAUCCACGCCGCUCACGUAAAAGCGGCGACAACCCCUCCGGCCGGAACAGCAUCAGGACCGACAUGAAAGGUCCAGCGUUCUCAAAACCCCUUAAAGAUAAGAUUAACCCGUGGGGCCCCCUAAUAAUCCUGGGGAUCUUAAUAAGGGCAGGAGUAUCAGUACAACAUGACAGCCCUCAUCAGGUCUUCAAUGUUACUUGGAGAGUUACCAACUUAAUGACAGGACAAACAGCUAAUGCUACCUCCCUCCUGGGGACAAUGACCGAUGCCUUUCCUAAACUGUACUUUGACUUGUGCGAUUUAAUAGGGGACGACUGGGAUGAGACUGGACUCGGGUGUCGCACUCCCGGGGGAAGAAAAAGGGCAAGAACAUUUGACUUCUAUGUUUGCCCCGGGCAUACUGUACCAACAGGGUGUGGAGGGCCGAGAGAGGGCUACUGUGGCAAAUGGGGCUGUGAGACCACUGGACAGGCAUACUGGAAGCCAUCAUCAUCAUGGGACCUAAUUUCCCUUAAGCGAGGAAACACCCCUCGGAAUCAGGGCCCCUGUUAUGAUUCCUCAGCGGUCUCCAGUGACAUCAAGGGCGCCACACCGGGGGGUCGAUGCAAUCCCCUAGUCCUGGAAUUCACUGACACGGGCAAAAAGGCCAGCUGGGAUGGCCCCAAAGUAUGGGGACUAAGACUGUACCGAUCCACAGGGACCGACCCGGUGACCCGGUUCUCUUUGACCCGCCAGGUCCUCAAUAUAGGGCCCCGCGUCCCCAUUGGGCCUAAUCCCGUGAUCACUGACCAGUUACCCCCCUCCCGACCCGUGCAGAUCAUGCUCCCCAGGCCUCCUCAGCCUCCUCCUCCAGGCGCAGCCUCUAUAGUCCCUGAGACUGCCCCACCUUCUCAACAACCUGGGACGGGAGACAGGCUGCUAAACCUGGUAGAUGGAGCCUACCAAGCUCUCAACCUCACCAGUCCCGACAAAACCCAAGAGUGCUGGUUGUGUCUGGUAGCGGGACCCCCCUACUACGAAGGGGUUGCCGUCCUAGGUACUUAUUCCAACCAUACCUCUGCCCCAGCUAACUGCUCCGUGGCCUCCCAACACAAGCUGACCCUGUCCGAAGUGACCGGACAGGGACUCUGCGUAGGAGCAGUUCCCAAAACCCAUCAGGCCCUGUGUAAUACCACCCAGAAGACGAGCGACGGGUCCUACUAUCUGGCUGCUCCCGCCGGGACCAUUUGGGCUUGCAACACCGGGCUCACUCCCUGCCUAUCUACCACUGUACUCGACCUCACCACCGAUUACUGUGUCCUGGUUGAGCUCUGGCCAAAGGUGACCUACCACUCCCCUGGUUAUGUUUAUGGCCAGUUUGAGAGAAAAACCAAAUAUAAAAGAGAGCCGGUGUCAUUAACUCUGGCCCUGCUGUUGGGAGGACUUACUAUGGGCGGCAUAGCUGCAGGAGUAGGAACCGGGACUACAGCCCUAGUGGCCACCAAACAAUUCGAGCAGCUCCAGGCAGCCAUACAUACAGACCUUGGGGCUUUAGAAAAGUCAGUCAGUGCCCUAGAAAAGUCUCUGACCUCGUUGUCUGAGGUGGUCCUACAGAACCGGAGGGGAUUAGAUCUACUGUUCCUAAAAGAAGGAGGAUUAUGUGCUGCCCUAAAAGAAGAAUGCUGUUUCUACGCGGACCACACUGGCGUAGUAAGAGAUAGCAUGGCAAAGCUAAGAGAAAGGUUGAACCAGAGACAAAAAUUGUUCGAAUCAGGACAAGGGUGGUUUGAGGGACUGUUUAACAGGUCCCCAUGGUUCACGACCUUAAUAUCCACCAUUAUGGGCCCCUUGAUAAUACUUUUAUUAAUCCUACUCUUCGGACCCUGUAUUCUCAACCGCUUGGUCCAGUUUGUAAAAGACAGAAUUUCGGUAGUGCAGGCCCUGGUUUUGACCCAACAGUAUCACCAACUCAAAUCAAUAGAUCCAGAAGAAGUGGAAUCACGUGAAUAAAAGAUUUUAUUCAGUUUCCAGAAAGAGGGGGGAAUGAAAGACCCCACCAUCAGGCUUAGCAAGCUAGCUGCAGUAACGCCAUUUUGCAAGGCAUGAAAAAGUACCAGAGCUGAGUUCUCAAAAGUUACAAGAAAGUUCAGUUAAAGAUUAACAGUUAAAGAUUAAGGCUGAAUAAUACUGGGACAGGGGCCAAAUAUCGGUGGUCAAGCACCUGGGCCCCGGCUCAGGGCCAAGAACAGAUGGCUCUCAGACGUCAGUGUUAGCAGAACUAGCUUCACUGAUUUAGAAAAAUAGAGGUGCACAGUGCUCUGGCCACUCCUUAAACCUGUGUGUCUGCCAAUGUUCUGACCAGGUGUGUGCCCAUUGUUGAACCUUCAUUAGACCCUUUCCUCGUACCCCUCCCAUACCCAUUUCUUGAAAAUAGACAUUGUUUAGAACUAAAAAGUCCCACCUCAGUUUCCCCAAAUGACCGAGAAAUACCCCAAGCCUUAUUCGAACUAACCAACCAGCUCGCUUCUCGCUUCUGUAACCGCGCUUUUUGCUCCCCAGCCCCAGCCCUAUAAAAAGGGUAAAAACUCCACACUCGGCGCGCCAGUCCUCCGAUAGACUGCGUCGCCCGGGUACCCGUGUUCCCAAUAAAGCCUCUUGCUGUUUGCAUCCGA